GGGCCUGAUCCUUGAAACACUUUGCGUGUUAGGGGUGAGGGUCGCAGAGUCUAGGGAGAAGCGACUGUUUAUCAAAAACACAGGUCCGUGCGAAGCCGUAAGGCGAUGUAUACGGACUGACGCCUGCCCGGUGCUGGAAGGUUAAGCGGACUGGUCAGUCCUCACUUGGUGGGGGUGAAGCUAGGAAGUUAAGCCCCAGUAAACGGCGGUGGUAACUAUAACCAUCCUAAGGUAGCGAAAUUCCUUGUCGGGUAAGUUCCGACCUGCACGAAUGGCGUGACGACUUCUCUACUGUCUCGACCACGAACUCGGCGAAAUUGCAUUACGAGUAAAGAUGCUCGUUACGCGCAGCAGGACGGAAAGACCCCGGGACCUUUACUAUAGCUUGGUAUUGGUGUUCGGUACGGCUUGUGUAGGAUAGGUGGGAGACUGUGAAGCUGUCACGCUAGUGAUGGUGGAGUCAUUGUUGAAAUACCACUCUGGCCGUGCUGCACAUCUAACCUCGGCCCGUGAUCCGGGUCAGGAACAGUGCCUGGUGGGUAGUUUAACUGGGGCGGUUGCCUCCUAAAGAGUAACGGAGGCGCUCAAAGGUUCCCUCAGCCUGGUCGGCAACCAGGUUGUGAGUGUAAGUGCACAAGGGAGCUUGACUGUGAGACAGACAUGUCGAACAGGUACGAAAGUAGGAACUAGUGAUCCGGCGGUGGCUUGUGGAAGCGCCGUCGCUCAACGGAUAAAAGGUACCCCGGGGAUAACAGGCUGAUCCUGCCCAAGAGUUCAUAUCGACGGCAUGGUUUGGCACCUCGAUGUCGGCUCGUCGCAUCCUGGGGCUGGAGUAGGUCCCAAGGGUUGGGCUGUUCGCCCAUUAAAGCGGUACGCGAGCUGGGUUCAGAACGUCGUGAGACAGUUCGGUCCCUAUCCGCUGCGCGCGUAGGAGAAUUGAGAAGGGCUGUCCCUAGUACGAGAGGACCGGGACGGACGAACCUCUAGUGUGCCAGUUGUCACGCCAGUGGCAUGGCUGGUUGGCUACGUUCGGAAAGGAUAACCGCUGAAAGCAUCUAAGCGGGAAGCCUGCUUCAAGAUGAAUUCUCCCUCCAACAUGUGUUGGGUGAGGCCCCCCACAGACCAUGGGGUUGGUAGGCCAGAUGUGGAAGCCUGGUAACGGGUGAAGCUGACUGGUACUAAUGGCCGACCACCUACAAAA
rnacentral:rRNA from 1 species